rnacentral:rRNA from 1 species
UUAAGCGACUAAGCGUACACGGUGGAUGCCCUGGCAGUCAGAGGCGAUGAAGGGCGUGCUAAUCUGCGAUAAGCGCCGGUAAGGUGAUAUGAACCGUUAUAACCGGCGAUACCCGAAUGGGGAAACCCAGUGUGAUUCGUCACACUAUCAUUAAACUGAAUCCAUAGGUUAAUGAGGCGAACCGGGGGAACUGAAACAUCUAAGUACCCCGAGGAAAAGAAAUCAACCGAGAUUCCCCCAGUAGCGGCGAGCGAACGGGGAGGAGCCCAGAGCCUGAAUCAGCAUGUGUGUUAGUGGAAGCGUCUGGAAAGGCGCGCGAUACAGGGUGACAGCCCCGUACACAAAAGCGCAUGUGCUGUGAGCUCGAUGAGUAGGGCGGGACACGUGGUAUCCUGUCUGAAUAUGGGGGGGACCAUCCUCCAAGGCUAAAUACUCCUGACUGACCGAUAGUGAACCAGUACCGUGAGGGAAAGGCGAAAAGAACCCCGGCGAGGGGAGUGAAAAAGAACCUGAAACCGUGUACGUACAAGCAGUGGGAGCCCCCACCACUAAGCCAGUGGUGAACUCCACAUCCGCAUCCUUUGCUGAGGAUACGGUUAACGGAGCGAAAGCGACGUUCAACCGCAAAACAAGCAGAGGGGGCUUAGUGGUGGGGUGACUGCGUACCUUUUGUAUAAUGGGUCAGCGACUUAUAUUCUGUAGCAAGGUUAACCGAAUAGGGGAGCCGGAGGGAAACCGAGUCUUAAUUGGGCGUUAAGUUGCAGGGUAUAGACCCGAAACCCGGUGAUCUAGCCAUGGGCAGGUUGAAGGUUGGGUAACACUAACUGGAGGACCGAACCGACUAAUGUUGAAAAAAUUAGCGGAUGACCUGUGGCUGGGGGUGAAAGGCCAAUCAAACCGGGAGAUAGCUGGUUCUCCCCGAAAGCUAUUUAGGUAGCGCCUCGUGAAUUCAUCUCCGGGGGUAGAGCACUGUUUCGGCUAGGGGGGCCAUCCCGGCUUACCAACCCGAUGCAAACUGCGAAUACCGGAGAAUGUUAUCACGGGAGACACACGGCGGGUGCUAACGUCCGUCGUGAAGAGGGAAAACAACCCAGACCGCCAGCUAAGGUCCCAAAGUCAUGGUUAAGUGGGAAACGAUGUGGGAAGGCCCAGACAGCCAGGAUGUUGGCUUAGAAGCAGCCAUCAUUUAAAGAAAGCGUAAUAGCUCACUGGUCGAGUCGGCCUGCGCGGAAGAUGUAACGGGGCUAAACCAUGCACCGAAGCUGCGGCAGCGAACGUAUCACCCAAGACAACUUUACGGAGUUGACGAUUGACGGAGCGAAGCGACGUCAAAGCGUUCAUUAAAGUCGAGUUGGCUUAGGGAUACGUUCGUUGGGUAGGGGAGCGUUCUGUAAGCCUGUGAAGGUGUGUCGUGAGGCAUGCUGGAGGUAUCAGAAGUGCGAAUGCUGACAUAAGUAACGAUAAAGCGGGUGAAAAGCCCGCUCGCCGGAAGACCAAGGGUUCCUGUCCAACGUUAAUCGGGGCAGGGUGAGUCGACCCCUAAGGCGAGGCCGAAAGGCGUAGUCGAUGGGAAACGGGUUAAUAUUCCCGUACUUGGUGUUACUGCGAAGGGGGGACGGAGAAGGCUAUGUUGGCCGGGCGACGGUUGUCCCGGUUUAAGCGUGUAGGUGUGUGUUCCAGGUAAAUCCGGUUCACUUUAACACUGAGGCGUGACGACGAGGCACUACGGUGCUGAAGCAACAAAUGCCCUGCUUCCAGGAAAAGCCUCUAAGCAUCAGGUAACACGAAAUCGUACCCCAAACCGACACAGGUGGUCAGGUAGAGAAUACCAAGGCGCUUGAGAGAACUCGGGUGAAGGAACUAGGCAAAAUGGUGCCGUAACUUCGGGAGAAGGCACGCUGACACGUAGGUGAAGUGAUUUACUCAUGGAGCUGAAGUCAGUCGAAGAUACCAGCUGGCUGCAACUGUUUAUUAAAAACACAGCACUGUGCAAACACGAAAGUGGACGUAUACGGUGUGACGCCUGCCCGGUGCCGGAAGGUUAAUUGAUGGGGUCAGCGCAAGCGAAGCUCCUGAUCGAAGCCCCGGUAAACGGCGGCCGUAACUAUAACGGUCCUAAGGUAGCGAAAUUCCUUGUCGGGUAAGUUCCGACCUGCACGAAUGGCGUAAUGAUGGCCAGGCUGUCUCCACCCGAGACUCAGUGAAAUUGAACUCGCUGUGAAGAUGCAGUGUACCCGCGGCAAGACGGAAAGACCCCGUGAACCUUUACUAUAGCUUGACACUGAACAUUGAGCCUUGAUGUGUAGGAUAGGUGGGAGGCUUUGAAGUGUGGACGCCAGUCUGCAUGGAGCCGACCUUGAAAUACCACCCUUUAAUGUUUGAUGUUCUAACGUGGACCCGUAAUCCGGGUUGCGGACAGUGUCUGGUGGGUAGUUUGACUGGGGCGGUCUCCUCCUAAAGAGUAACGGAGGAGCACGAAGGUUGGCUAAUCCUGGUCGGACAUCAGGAGGUUAGUGCAAUGGCAUAAGCCAGCUUGACUGCGAGCGUGACGGCGCGAGCAGGUGCGAAAGCAGGUCAUAGUGAUCCGGUGGUUCUGAAUGGAAGGGCCAUCGCUCAACGGAUAAAAGGUACUCCGGGGAUAACAGGCUGAUACCGCCCAAGAGUUCAUAUCGACGGCGGUGUUUGGCACCUCGAUGUCGGCUCAUCACAUCCUGGGGCUGAAGUAGGUCCCAAGGGUAUGGCUGUUCGCCAUUUAAAGUGGUACGCGAGCUGGGUUUAGAACGUCGUGAGACAGUUCGGUCCCUAUCUGCCGUGGGCGCUGGAGAACUGAGGGGGGCUGCUCCUAGUACGAGAGGACCGGAGUGGACGCAUCACUGGUGUUCGGGUUGUCAUGCCAAUGGCACUGCCCGGUAGCUAAAUGCGGAAGAGAUAAGUGCUGAAAGCAUCUAAGCACGAAACUUGCCCCGAGAUGAGUUCUCCCUGAGACUUAGAGUCUCCUGAAGGAACGUUGAAGACGACGACGUUGAUAGGCCGGGUGUGUAAGCGCAGCGAUGCGUUGAGCUAACCGGUACUAAUGAACCGUGAGGCUUAACCUU